ACUCCUCUUGGAGCCCUUCUAUGAGCCCAGGGUGAGACGGCUGCAGAGACAAGCAAAAGGAGACAGUCCUGUGACUCCCAGGCAGUUUUAUCUUCUCUAAACAGAAAAUGGAAACGGAAUAGUGAAGUCUUCUGGGAGUUGUAGUUCAUUCUUCUCUUCUGAGACCAGCGCCUGUAUCUCAAAUAAAGGCAGAGGAAGAACCAUCUGCAAACCUCCCCCAUCGCAGCGGCAUGCAGGGCUGACUCAGCUCUGGCAGCAAGCAUGAGAGCAAGAAGCCACCUUGCACAGCUCUCUGCUCCCUCUGCCAAUGCAGCACUGGGCUCAGCUCAGCUCAUCUCAGGAAAGACUUCUCCUGCAGCCCUGGGCACUGGGCUUCCUCCCACAGUUCCCCUGAGAUGUGCCAUUUUGCUACAUGUGGAUGUGAUGUGGCAUCAUUCUGCUUCUUGCUUCUCUUUAAAAGCAACUUCAGGUUUGAGAAAUGACAACAAACGCUCCCUAAGAGCUGGACAAUGUUAUGAUACCUUAACUGUGGCACAGGGAAUUUGCAGAACCUUCCUGUGCAGGCACUGCAGGAGAGCCUACUCUCCAAACAGCCAAGGGAGCAAGAUUUAAAUGCAAACGUAGCCCAAGCUGCCCAGAACAGGGCAGAAAGAGUGCAGAUCUGUACCACGCUGUGGUUUUUCCACUCAGUGGAGUCCUGACAGGGUGCUCUGAUGGUCAUCCAACAGCAGAAACACGUCCUAGGGGUGG
ensembl:lncRNA